AAUCUUCCGCAAUGGACGAAAGUCUGACGGAGCAACGCCGCGUGAGCGAAGAAGGNCUNNGGAUCNUNAAACUCUGUCCUUGGNNNNNAGAAAAAUGACGGUAGCCAAGGAGGAAGCCCCGGCUAACUACGUGCCAGCGGCCGCGGUAAUACGUAGGGGGCUAGCGUUGUCCGGAUUUAAUGGGCGUAAAGGAUGAGUAGGCGGUUACAUAAGUCAGAUGUAAAAGGCUAAGGCUUAACCAUAGUAUGCAUUUGAAACUGUGUGACUUGAGUACAGGAGAGGUAAGUGGAAUUCCUAGUGUAGCGGUGAAAUGCGUAGAUAUUAGGAGGAACACCAGUGGCGAAGGCAGCCCCCUGGGAUAAUACUGACGCUCAGACACGAAAGCGUGGGGAGCAAACAGG
rnacentral:rRNA from 1 species